UCUGGUAUCCUCUAAAGGUAAGAGAGCGGACUGUUAAUCCGUCAAUUCUGGUUCAAGUCCAGAUUCCAGAGCCA
rnacentral:tRNA from 1 species